GUGUCAGCAGCCGCGGUAAUACGUAGGGCGCAAGCGUUGUCCGGAAUUAUUGGGCGUAAAGAGCUCGUAGGUGGCUUGUCACGUCGGGUGUGAAAGCUUGGGGCUUAACUCCAGGUCUGCAUUCGAUACGGGCUGGCUAGAGGUAGGUAGGGGAGAACGGAAUUCCUGGUGUAGCGGUGAAAUGCGCAGAUAUCAGGAGGAACACCGGUGGCGAAGGCGGUUCUCUGGGCCUUACCUGACGCUGAGGAGCGAAAGCGUGGGGAGCGAACAGGAUUAGAAACCCCAGUAGUCC
rnacentral:rRNA from 1 species